rnacentral:tRNA from 1 species
AGGGAUGUAGCUCAGUGGCACAGUGCCUGCCUGGCAAGUGAGAGGUCCUGAGUUCAAUUCUCAGUACCCCCC